GAGAUAUUAGUAAAAAUAUUACAUAACUUUGUCAAAGUUAAAUUAUUGAUUAAUGCUCAAUAUAUCUU
rnacentral:tRNA from 1 species